GGCUUUAUAGUCAAUAUUAUGAUGUCAGACUGCAAUUCUGGAGUAGUGAGUAACUAAAGCUU
rnacentral:tRNA from 1 species